rnacentral:pre_miRNA from 1 species
AGAGGGAUAGCUGGGUCAAAUGGUAGUUCCAUCUCAGAUUUUCAAAGAAUCUCCAUACUGCUUUCUAUAUUUGCUGUACCAAUUUGCAGUCCCACCAGCAAU